GGAGUUAGCCGGUGCUUCUUCUGUGAGUGAUGUCCUUCCUGCCGGUUAUUGACCCGCAGGCCUUCUUCCUCACUGAAAGUGCUUUACAACCCGAAGGCCUUCUUCACACACGCGGCAUGGCUGGAUCAGGGUUGCCCCCAUUGUCCAAUAUUCCCCACUGCUGCCUCCCGUAGGAGUCUGGGCCGUGUCUCAGUCCCAGUGUGGCUGAUCAUCCUCUCAGACCAGCUACGGAUCGUCGCCUUGGUGAGCCGUUACCUCACCAACCAGCUAAUCCGACAUAGGCUCAUCCGAUAGCGCGAGGCCCGAAGGUCCCCCGCUUUCCCCCGUAGGGCGUAUGCGGUAUUAGCCUGGGUUUCCCCAGGUUAUCCCCCACUACCGGGCAGAUUCCUAUGCAUUACUCACCCGUCCGCCGCUCGCCACCAGGGAGCAAGCUCCCCGUGCUGCCGCUCGACUUGCAUGUGUUAGGCCUGCCGCCAGCGUUCAAUCUGAGCCAGAUCAAACUCUGA
rnacentral:rRNA from 1 species